UAAAACAAAUUUCAUUCCAAGUGUCUAUCUAGUUUCAGCUGGUAUAUUCUGCAAUCUACUCUUAGUGUGCAAGACAGACACUUUAUCAAUUUAAUAAAUAUAAAUGUGCUGUACAGGGUUUUUUUUUUUUUUUUCUAAACUGAAGUGAGCGGUUCAGUGUAAUGAGGAAUGAUACAGUUCUGUGGAACAGCGCCACUCCUGGAACAGACAAUUUACUGCAGCAUUGAAGUAAUCCACCCAGUAUUUGUUUUUUUUUUUUUGUUUUUUUAUUCUGUUGCCUGCAACCAGUUCCUGAAAUCGUGCCUCCUCUCAGCCUUAGACCAACCUCUUCCUCUGGGGGCGCCAUCACUCUCUUGGAUGAAUGCGGUGGGCUGGGGCUGCCUUCGACAGCAUCACCUGGGACGGAGAUAAGAGAAAACAGUGUCAGCACAUCUGAAACCCAGUUCCAAUCGGAGAACAAUAGCAAGGAUGGCACAGCCUGCCUGCCAUGAAAAUCAUAUAGAGGCUUGGGCUGGUUCACCUGUAUUUAUAUCAUAGAAGAAUUUCAUCGUCAAUGUUGAUGUUUGUUUGUGCAAAUAAGAUUAUUCCUCUUGUACCAUCACUGCUAAACACUGUUCACUCUUCAUGUUAUUAUGCUAGGGUAUAUUAUUGAUUUAAUCUCAAAGCAGAAGCACUUGAGUCAUACCUUUACAAAAUUUUCCUGAGAUACAUUUUCACUAUAUUUUUGCAGUUUCCUGGUAACCAUGUUUUAGCAUACUUCUCUAAGAUUCAUAUUGCUUUCCUGUUUCUGGUUGACAUUUUUAAUAGGAUCAGCUAAUUAAAAUAGUGAGUUUCAGUGUCUCAAUAAUUUGUCUUCAAAUUAAGAGAAAGAGAGAGCGAGAGAUAUUUUAAAAACUUUUUAAAUAUUAUUUAAUUUAACCAAUACCUUAAGAAAAAAACAAAAUGGCAAAAACACAUUAGUUACUAUUAACAAAAUUCAGAUACAAAAUGCAAUUAACUUAUGUAUCACCCUAACAUGUAAAGAAAGCACAUUAAUCACAAAAACAAAAGACAAUUUGAGUGUUUCCUCCUCAAUUAUACACCCAACUCCACCCACACACCAAGUGUGUUUAAAGUCUCUCUCUCUCUCCAGAAAAGGUGCAUUUGUCAAUGACCCUUCGAUCUAUUAUACAGAGAUCCGCUUACAUAAGAAAGGUCACAAACGAGAGGAGGCCAUUCAGCCCAGAUCUUAUUGAUCUGAGGAGCUAAUCAAGCAGCUUCUUGAAGGAUCCCAGCGUGUCAGCUUCAACAACAUUACUGGGGAGUUUGUUCCAG